GACGUAGGGGGCGAGCGUUGUCCGGAUUUAUUGGGCGUAAAGAGCUCGUAGGCGGCUCGUUGCGUCGGCUGUGAAAACCCGCAGCUCAACUGUGGGCUUGCAGCCGAUACGGGCGGGCUGGAGUUCGGUAGGGGAGACUGGAAUUCCUGGUGUAGCGGUGAAAUGCGCAGAUAUCAGGAGGAACACCAAUGGCGAAGGCAGCACUCUGGGACGUGACUGACGCUGAGACGCGAAAGCGUGGGGAGCAAACAGG
rnacentral:rRNA from 1 species